rnacentral:rRNA from 1 species
UACGAAGGGGGCUAGCGUUGUUCGGAAUUACUGGGCGUAAAGCGCGCGCAGGCGGUCUUCCAAGUCAGUGGUGAAAGCCCGGAGCUCAACUCCGGAACUGCCAUUGAAACUGUAAGACUUGAGGAUGAGAGAGGUGAGUGGAAUUCCCAGUGUAGAGGUGAAAUUCGUAGAUAUUCGCAAGAACACCAGUGGCGAAGGCGGCUCACUGGUCCGGUACUGACGCUGAGGUGCGAAAGCGUGGGGAGCAAACAGG